UGCGCAGGCGGUCCGUUGUGUCUGCGGUGAAAUCCCCGGGCUUAACCUGGGAAUGGCCGUGGAAACUGGCGGGCUUGAGUGUGGCAGAGGGGGGUGGAAUUCCGCGUGUAGCAGUGAAAUGCGUAGAGAUGCGGAGGAACACCGAUGGCGAAGGCAACCCCCUGGGCUGACACUGACGCUCAGGCACGAAAGCGUGGGGAGCAAACA
rnacentral:rRNA from 1 species